CCUACGGGAGGCAGCAGGGGGAAUUUUGGACAAUGGGCGCAAGCCUGAUCCAGCAAUGCCGCGUGAGUGAAGAAGGCCUUCGGGUUGUAAAGCUCUUUUGUCAGGGAAGAAACGGCUGAGGCUAAUAUCCUCGGCUAAUGACGGUACCUGAAGAAUAAGCACCGGCUAACUACGUGCCAGCAGCCGCGGUAAUACGUAGGGUGCAAGCGUUAAUCGGAAUUACUGGGCGUAAAGCGUGCGCAGGCGGUUUUGUAAGUCUGUCGUGAAAGCCCCGGGCUUAACCUGGGAAUUGCGAUGGAGACUGCAAGGCUUGAAUCUGGCAGAGGGGGGUAGAAUUCCACGUGUAGCAGUGAAAUGCGUAGAGAUGUGGAGGAACACCGAUGGCGAAGGCAGCCCCCUGGGUCAAGAUUGACGCCCAUGCACGAAAGCGUGGGGAGCAAACAGGAUUAGAUACCCUGGUAGUCCACGCCCUAAACGAUGUCUACUAGUUGUCGGGUCUUAAUUGACUUGGUAACGCAGCUAACGCGUGAAGUAGACCGCCUGGGGGAGGUACGGUCGGUCGAGAAGUUAAACUAACAAAGUUAAGUAGUUAGACGNGNGAGAGCGACGACGACGACGACGGAGGAGGAG
rnacentral:rRNA from 1 species